CCAAUACUACAACUACUGAAAUGACCACUGCAGAUGUUACCAAUACUACAACUACUGAAAUGACCACUGCAGAUGCCGUAAAGCUCUCAACAGGAUUUGGCAUUCUUCUUCUGGCUGCAGUCGUCAGUGUGCUUCAGUUAUUUGCCUAGACGUCGGCUCGGUUGUGUUGCUAUGGAGACAACAAACUACAAAGUCCAGUUUUUAUUUAAAUCAAUAUCAUGUUGUGCAUGAAUAUGUUUGGUCACGAUAUCAUUCUAAUGAUAAUAUUUUACAUCGAACCCAGGUGUAUCACUAUAACCCUAUAAUUAUGGCCGUACGCAGUUGGGAACGUGGGGUAUAUAGCUACCCCACCCCUUGUCCAUU